rnacentral:rRNA from 1 species
UGUUUUUCUAUUAAAAGGAAUGAUGGGAAUUUAAACCUCUUUCAGGGUAUCAAUUGGAGGGCAAGUCUGGUGCCAGCAGCCGCGGUAAUUCCAGCUCCAAUAGCGUAUAUUAAAAUUGUUGCAGUUAAAAAGCUGGUAGUUGAAUUUCUGCUGCAUCGCGUCUUCUUUUUGAUGAGUUGCCGUAUUGCGGCUUUUUUCGGAUGAUUUUUUUGUCCGGAUGAUUACUUUGAGAAAAUUAGAGUGCUCAAAGCAGGCUUUUGCCUUGAAUAGUUUAGCAUGGAAUAAUAAAGUAGGACUUUGGUUCUAUUUUGUUGGUUUUAGGUACCAAAGUAAUGGUUAAUAGGAACAGUUGGGGGCAUUCGUAUUUAACUGUCAGAGGUGAAAUUCUUAGAUUUGUUAAAGACGAACUACUGCUGAAAGCAUUUGCCAAGGAUGUUUUCUUUAUUCAACAACAAAAGUUAGGGGAUCAAAGACGAUCAUAUACCGCCGUAGUCCUAUCAAAAAACAAAUAA